AUGGAUGUUGUGUCAUGGGUUCGAGGCUUCCUUGGCGGGAACAUGGAGAUCAUGGCAUCUCUUGCUUGCUUCUUAUUCUUGUUCUUCAGGUUCCGGCGGUGGGACGGGUUGCCGACGAGCUGGCCGGCGCUGUGCGUAAACACCGGGCGCAUGCACGAUUGGUUAACGGAGCUCCUGCACGCUGCCGGGAUGUCGUACGUCAUGAGGAGGCGGUGGGGCUUGCCGGUGGACGUCCUCGUCACGGCCGACCCGGCGAACGUGGCGCACGUUCUCUCUGCCAACUUCGAUAACUACCCCAAAGGCGCAAGGUAUAACACGGUGUUCAGCGUGCUCGGGGACGGCAUCUUCAACGCCGACGGCGAGUCGUGGUCGUUCCAGCGGCGCAAGGCGCACGCGUUGCUGUCGGACGCGGGGUUCCGCGCUGCCGUCGCCGCCAAUACCGCGCGCAAGCUCGACGAGGGGCUCGUGCCGCUCCUCGACGGCCUCGCCACGUCGGGCACAACGGUCGACCUGCAGGACGUGUUCAUGCGCCUGACCUUUGACCUCACGGCGAUGUUCGUGUUCGGCAUCGACCCCGGCUGCCUCGCCGCCGAUUUCCCGCACGUCCCCUUCGCUGCGGCCAUUGACGACACCGAGGAGGUGCUGGUCUACCGGUACGUAACGCCCGUGCCGUGGGUAAAGCUGCAGAGCUACCUAAAUAUCGGCCACCGCCAGAAGAUGUCCAAGGCUCGGCGGGUGCUCGACGCGUCUAUCGCGGAGUUGGUCUCUCUCCGGCGACAACGCGCGGCCAACUCCACCUGCGAGGCCGGCACCGACCUGCUCACGUCGUACAUGGCGUGUCAGGCCGAGGUAGGCAAGGUCGGUGCCGAGUUCGACCGGUUCUUGCGCGACACGACGCUUAACCUCGUGUUCGCCGGCCGCGACACGACGAGCUCCGCCCUUUCAUGGUUUUUCUGGCUGCUCUCCAACCACCCCGACGUCGAGGCCAAGAUCCUCGCCGAGCUGCUAGAGAACCCUCCGGCCUCCGGGGCCGGCCACCACCGCACGACCGCCGAGCUGACGCGCCUGGUCUACCUGCACGCGGCGCUCUCGGAGUCGCUCCGGCUGUACCCGCCCCUGCCGUUCCAGUACAAGUCGGUCGCGCGGCCGGACACGCUCCCAAGCGGCGCGACCGUGGGGCCGUCGUGGGUGGUGAUCAUACCCUUCUACUCGAUGGGACGCAUGGAGGCGGUGUGGGGCAAGGACUGCCUGGAGUUCCGGCCGGAGCGGUGGCUGACAGCGGAGGGGCGGUUCCGGCACGAGCCGUCGCACAAGUUCGUGGCGUUCAAUAUGCGGCCCCGGACGUGCCUUGGCAAGGACCUGGCCUACGCGCAGAUGAAGGCCGUUGUCGCCGCCGUCGUGCCGCGGUUUCAGUUGGAGGUCGCUGCCGGCGCCGCGGCGAGGCCCAAGCCCAAGCUGUCCCCCAUACUCCACAUGAAGGACGGGCUCGAGGUGAGGGUCCACAAGAGAUAA
rnacentral:rRNA from 1 species